UGGUUUACAUGAGCAGCAGGAGCAUAAUCGCCUUUUCAUUCCAGCCCUCUUUAAAGAGAAGAACAAUCUUUUGUUUUCUGUUGCCGAACCAUAGUUUUGUUCCCCCACUCCUCUGUUAAAAUUUCAUACUCAAAACAAUCUCUAGAAAUUAAAGGAAUAUUUUAGGCACUCAAAUUCAAAUUGGAGUUCAACCCACUCUCUGUUUCUGGAUAAAUUUGUCUUCUUCAAAGAGUACGAAGAGAAGUUACAAUAGUAAGCCGGCAGAGCUUACAGAAUCCUUUUAGCGCUAUGAGAGUUAGUAUUUUGUUACGUUUUGAUGUGUAUAUCACAGGGGUAUCUAGGUAGUUUAGUUUACUUUCCUUGAUCCCAUGUCAUUCUUGUACAUUUUGCUGUUAUUAUUGGGAUCUUAUACAUGAUCUUUAUAUGGCCUGUAACCAAAAACUUGCAGUUUUCUAUGGGUCUGGUCUGGGGUGUUGCAACUGUGCUUUUGAAUCCCUUUGUUGUCAAAUAUCUAUGUACUACAGGCAUAUUCAUUUAUGUGUCAUUAAGUGCUUGUUUUUAUUUUUUCGAAACUCUUGUACUUGAUUAAAUUUUGCAGCGUAUAGUUUAGUCUACAGUAUUCUAUAUACCAUAUGUCUCUAUCUUAACAUGAAUUUACUACAUUAUCAAGGGUGUUAACCUAAGUUUUUUUAAUUUUCAGUAGCUAGAAGUCAUUUCUUUUUGCUGUAUAAGACUUAUGAUACAUAGGAUAUACAUAUACUUUUCCAAUAUUUUAAAAUCUUUGUUUCUUCUUUUUGGGAUUGUUGAUUUAACUGCCUCUUAAUAACUGUGCUCUCAACUGUUAGAUUUUGAUGAGUACCCUGAACCACUUUCCCCUUGUUGCUAGAUUUCCGAAGUAGAGGUAUAUUUCAUUUUUAUUUUAUUUUUCCGAGUGACGUGAUGGGAGAUUUGUGCUUGCCAGUCUAGUCGGAUUCCGAUACGGCGGAAACAAAAAUUUUCUGUCGGUUACAGUUGGUAUCAGAGCGAAGGUUCCGACUUAUCGGGACUGUGUUUGGUUUUCUUACUUGCUGAAAUGGUCGAUAAUUAGAUAACUAUUUAUUUUCGUACACUUUGGUUGUUUAAAAACUACAUUUUUAUGUUGAUGCUCCAUAUUUGAAUCUGUUUUAGUUUACGAAGAACAUUUUCUUUCCUCCAUGUUAACCUAUCACGUUUUGUUAUACAACUUUGAAAUUAUUUAAAUAGCGUGAUGAUUUGGUUUUAACUUUUUCUUGAAAUUUUAUCAUGACUUCAAUAGUACUGCCGUUUUGAAAGAGUCAUAUUGGUUUUGGGGAUUGGGGAAUACUAACCAGAUGCUGUGAUAUACAUAUCAUUUUCGUGUGUUAGUAAUGUAUAUUACUAACCAAUUGUAAAUCUGACGCGUUAUCUGUUUUGAAGAUGUCACGAAGUGCGAAAUUUGCAGGCCCGCUCUUACUACGCAAAAGAAAAAAGGAUUUCAUUAAGGGAAUAAAAUGCAUUGGAAAAGAUUUGGAAUAACCGGUAAGUUUGGUGAUGACCAUCUCUAAUGCCGUUAAGAACCAUAGACAACCUAGUACAACUGUAGUCCUCAAGGAUUUAAAGGUGCUUGUAGGAAUGAUUGAACGUUUAGUAGUAUGAAGGAACUUCUCGAGGAACUAAUGGAACACACGACAUAAAAACGUAAUGUGUUUUUCUUUUACUCUUUAUUUAUCAUUUAUGAUAUCUGGCGUAUCGGAUGAAAUUAAUACAUUCUGCGUGUGUGAGCUUACUCCUUAAACUUGCCUCUUUAGUAGGGGUGCGUUUCUGAUAUGUGGUUUGUUUUUCAAAGUUUACUUGUUGAAUUUCUUGUUAACAAAUGUUUAAUAAAAUUUCUGUCAUACUCUGUGUUUCCGACAAAUUAAAGAAUGGGCACUCGUAGAUUUCGUUUGGUACUGUUUUAGUUGAGUUUGUAGUCGGAUUUUUAUCCAAAUUGAAAUUAUGAAAAAUCUCUAAGAAUUUACUUGUUUUUGUCCAGUUGCCAAGAGUGAACCUCAAUAAUUGAAUUUUUCUUUUCAUAUCCAUACUAAUAAUUUGAAUGAUCUGGUAUGAAUUCAUUUCUUCGAUUCAGUGAAAAUCUUUUUAGUUCUUCAAAGCUUAAGGUCUUAACUCUCUUUAUGAUGUCUUCUGAUGUUGGUACUAGUUUUGUCCAUGCCUCUAUUUUCUCAUUUUUCUCUGCUGCUACCAUUACAUAUUUUGGUUUUUAUUGAUUUUAUACCAGUCAAAAUGUGUAGAAAUAUUUUUUUGGGUUUGAUCUGACGAUGAUUUCUUAGUUCGACUCUUUGAUUCAUGAUUUGUCUACUUGAGCACAAGUUUUGCUAAACUUCAUUGGUUCCCUGUCCUAAUAGCUGGCAGAGGUUAAAAGGGAAGCUGAAAGUGCCGUAAUCAUGGGUAAUUUUCUAAUUUAUCGUUCUCGCGCAAAAAUGUCGUUUCGAACCGAAGCUAGUUGAAGGUAAUCUUCAUAGAUCUUCAAUUUAGUUUGAAUUGGGGGACACAAUUCUUUUUAGAGUGUAAUGGUGUAGCGACAUGAAUAUUUUCCUUGGGCUUUGAACCCUAGACCAACCCAUAUGAAUGAUUGUUUAGCUAGGUAGUCAUCCCUUAGCAGCAAUUGGUGAGCAUGAGUAGUUGAUGCUAGGAAGACACUAGAAAUUUUGAGCAUGUAAGGCACGUGGUUGACAUGAGCAGCAGGGGCAUAAUCGCCUUUUCAUUCCAACCCUCUUUAAAGAGAAGAACAAUCUUUUGUUUUCUGUUGCCGAACCAUAGUUUUGUUCCCUCACUCCUUUGUUAAAAUUUCAUACUCAAAACAAUCUCUAGAAAUUAAAGGAAUAUUUUAGGCUCUCAAAUACAAAUUGGAGUUCAACCCACUGACUUUUUCUGGCUAAAUUUAUCUUCUUCAAAGGUAGGGGGUUUAUCUCAAUUCUUCAUUUUAUGCUUUCUUCACUUUUAAAAUUAUCAUUCCAGUUGUUCCUCUUAAUUUUAUGCUUCAUAUCAUGUGAAUCGAUAUUUGAGGAGGGGGUUUCAUUUUCACUGUUAAAAUUGGGUUUCGAUGCGAUUUCAUUUGGGUUACACAAAUAUUGAUUUGUUUUAUAAACUUCCUUCAAAUAUGAAGACUAAACCCUGCUUGGCAUCUAUGUUCAUUUGGGUUUCGAUGUUAAAAUUAGGAUUUGUGAUUCUGAUUUUUUUAAACUGAUUUUAUGAAGACUAAACCCUGCUUGGCAUCUAUGUUCAUUUUAUAUCCCAAACCAGGAGUUUGAAUUGAGUUUCUAAACUUGCUAUUAGCUGUUUGUGAAAAUGACUAAAUGAAUACUGUUUCAUUUUAGUAUCAUGCAUGACACCAAGUUUUGAUCUACAUAUACACAGCAGUAACCAUGAUUUGUAUCUAUUUUUCUUUCUUCCUAAACCACCGUUUUCGGUUUAAUAUAUUACCCUAUAGAAUUGUUUGAACGUGAUACCAUUUUGGUUAUGCCUUCUCAAGUUUUACUUUUGAUAUCUCUCUUGACUAAUACAUUUCCUUCUUAUACUUUCCCCUUUUAACUCAUUUGUUUCUUCAAACAUCAAAUGUCAAAAGAAAAUGACAGCAUUGUGUCAUGCAUGUGAACUAUUUGCUUCCGAUUUAUGGUUUACUAACUAAUCCCCUUUCUUCCCAAUUUAUAUCUAAUGUUACUGUCCACUCAUGCAAAUACUAUUUACUUACGUUCUAAUCUCUUCCUCUCUUGAUUUAAUAUGUUAAAUUAUUGAACUUAAUGUUUUUUAUGUGAAGGAAAUGAAAAUGUACCAAUUGCCUUAUUUUACUGUUGCUUAGAUGCUUGAUUUGCUAUCAGCUACGAUGCUGUUGUUUUUGUCACAGCUCCAUUAACUGUAUCACUUAUGUUUUCUCUCUCUUUUCGGAUGAAUUAUGUGCAUGAUUUACUCUGUAUUAUGGAUUUGGUUUGGCUUAAAUUCCCAUGGUGUAUGGACUAUACUUAAAGUUUGGUAUUUUACUUGGCGCGGGCUUUUGGUAAGUUGUGCCUUCGUUGCUCUUGACUUUUGAGGAUUGGUUCCAGUUUCAGAAAUUCCCUUGAGAUUUGCUGCCAGUAAAAACUUAUUUGCGAAUGCUGCCAACGCUUAUACUUGUGUAAGCUUUUGAUUAUGGAUUUAUGAGGUUCUUAAGAACUUGGUUUGAUGUUUCCCUGUGACAAUUGGAUUUGGAAACUAGUGGACUCUACUUUAGGAACGUCAGGCCUAAGUGGAACUUCACCACCUUGGUGGAAACCCGGAAGAUCGUUGCGACAACGAUGGAUGGUAACCAGAACUAUCUUGAUGGUGGCACUGGCCAUGAGAAUAGUAGAGUGACUUUAUUUGCGGCUCCGAAUGUUUUUAUGAUUUAUAUUUGCUAAGAUUUACAUUUCUGCAUUUUUAUUUAGCUGUUGCUCAUGUCUAUUUAUCCCCGUUUAUCGUUGGCAUUGUAUUUCGUUUUUACACCCUCUAUUGGGCAUGCGCUCACCCCGUUUGUUUUGUUCCCCCCUCCCCCCCACACACACAGAGUACGAAGAGAAGUUACAGCAGUAAGCCGGGCAGAGCUUACAGAAUCCUUUUAGCGCUAUGAAAGUUAGUAUUUUGUUACGUUUUGAUGUGUAUAUCACAGGGAAUCUGGGUAGUUUAGUUUACUUUCCUUGAUCCAUGUCAUUCUUGUACAUUUUGCUGUUAUUAUUGGGAUCUUGUACAUGAUCUUAUAUGGCAUGUAACUGAAAACUUGCAGUUUC